rnacentral:lncRNA from 1 species
GCACUGUGCUCAGAUAAAGAAAAGAUGCAAAACGCAGUCUUGAUCUCUGUCUUCAAGAAGUUCACAGUCAGAAAAAAAAAAAAAAAAAAAAAGUAGGUAAAAAAUGAAACCUUGUUUUAAUUUGAAUUUAUGUUUACUGAUUAAUUGUACCUCCCCUUUUAUGAAUCACUUCACGUUUUUGCUCAUACAUUACUGGGAUGUUGGUAUAUUUCUCGUUGAUUUGUAUG